rnacentral:rRNA from 1 species
CCUACGGGUGGCUGCAGUGGGGAAUAUUGCACAAUGGGCGCAAGCCUGAUGCAGCCAUGCCGCGUGUGUGAAGAAGGCCUUCGGGUUGUAAAGCACUUUCAGCGGGGAGGAAGGCGUUAAGGUUAAUAACCUUGUCGAUUGACGUUACCCGCAGAAGAAGCACCGGCUAACUCCGUGCCAGCAGCCGCGGUAAUACGGAGGGUGCAAGCGUUAAUCGGAAUUACUGGGCGUAAAGCGCACGCAGGCGGUCUGUCAAGUCGGAUGUGAAAUCCCCGGGCUCAACCUGGGAACUGCAUUCGAAACUGGCAGGCUAGAGUCUUGUAGAGGGUGGUAGAAUUCCAGGUGUAGCGGUGAAAUGCGUAGAGAUCUGGAGGAAUACCGGUGGCGAAGGCGGCCCCCUGGACAAAGACUGACGCUCAGGUGCGAAAGCGUGGGGAGCAAACAGGAUUAGAUACCCCUGUAGUC